rnacentral:rRNA from 1 species
GAUGAACGCUAGCGGCAGGCUUAACACAUGCAAGUCGAGGGGUAUAAGGAGCUUGCUCCUUAGAGACCGGCGCACGGGUGCGUAACGCGUAUGCAAUCUGCCUUCCACAAAGGAAUAGCCCAGAGAAAUUUGGAUUAAUGCCUUAUAGCAUCACGAGAUGGCAUCAUCAUGUGAUUAAAAGAUUUAUCGGUGGAAGAUGA